CUCAUUAAAUCAGUUAUAGUUUAUUUGAUGGUCUCUUUUGUCUUUUUUACCUACUUGGAUAACCGUGGUAAUUCUAGAGCUAAUACAUGCGCAAGGUCCCGAGCGCGGAGGGUGGGGCUUCACGGCUCUAUCCUUGCAUGCGCAGAGGGAUGUAUUUAUUAGGUUAAACAACCAGCAUUUUAACAAUCAUCUGGUGAUUCAUAGUAACUCUUUCGGAUCGCAUUCAUG
rnacentral:rRNA from 1 species